rnacentral:rRNA from 1 species
AUGUUGCCUGAUAGGAAGGAAUGGAAUGAGCCUCUCAUACGACAACUCUUCUACCCCUUUGACGCUGAUGAGAUUUGCAAGAUCAACAUCCCGUUGUCAGAGGUAGGCGAUGGUGUUGCUUGGCAUCAUGAGAAGAAUGGCUCUUUCUCUGUUAGGAGUGCGUAUAGACUUGCGGCUACAAUCCGGGAGCAAGUGCAGCAUAUCCAAUCGAGCUCCACAAGUGAUCCAAAUGAUCGAAGUAUCUGGGACCUCGUCUGGAAAACUAGAGUCCCGGGGAAGGUCUGUAUCUUUGCUUGGAGAGUGGCAACUAAUAUCCUGGCCACAAAGAAGAACAAAUGGAAGAGAUCGCUGGAAGUGGAUGCAACGUGCAGCUUAUGUGGUAAUGCCAUAGAGGACGAAUAUCACGCGGUUAUCGCAUGUACAAAAAGCAGGGCCCUAAGGACUGCCUUGAGAGGUGUAUGGAGGCUACCGGCUGAACAUAGGCUGAGGUACAUCGGUGUUGACUGGCUGCAGGUUGCCCUAUGCACGGAAGAUGAAGAGACGCGCGCCAAACUGCUGCUUCUCCUGUGGCGUUGCUGGCAUCUCAGAGAAGACAGCAUGCGGAAUAACGGGAGAGAAUCGAUCGGGGCCUCGGUACAGUUCUUAAUGCAGUACGAGGAUGAUCUCAACGGCGCAGAGGCGUUCGAUGAUAGGCUGAAAGGGUGCACAGAUUGGGAGGAAGGAGAGAGAAGUACCAGGCUGCUGCCCGCCAACCAGGAGAACAAGUGGAGAGCUCCGGUUCGCGGAACUGCAAAAAUCAACUCUGACGCUGCUUUCUGUGCAGCGACAGGAGAGAGUGCGGCGGGGGUGGUUGCCCGAGAUCAUAGAGGACUGGUUUUCCUGUCGGUCAGCAUAAAACUCCCGCCCUACAACAGUGUGGAGUACUACUACAAAUCAGGACAUAUAAAAUUGAUUAGGCGCAGUAUGGUGGUCAGGUCAGGGCGCCCGCACAAAACCUAA